rnacentral:rRNA from 1 species
AGCGAACGCUGGCGGCAGGCCUAACACAUGCAAGUCGAACGAACUCUUCGGAGUUAGUGGCGGACGGGUGAGUAACACGUGGGAACGUGCCUUUUGGUUCGGAAUAACUCAGGGAAACUUGUGCUAAUACCGAAUGUGCCCUUCGGGGGAAAGAUUUAUCGCCAUUAGAGCGGCCCACGUCUGAUUAGCUAGUUGGUGAGGUAACGGCUCACCAAGGCGACGAUCAGUAGCUGGUCUGAGAGGAUGACCAGCCACACUGGGACUGAGACACGGCCCAGACUCCUACGGGAGGCAGCAGUGGGGAAUCUUGCGCAAUGGGCGAAAGCCUGACGCAGCCAUGCCGCGUGAAUGAUGAAGGUCCUAGGAUUGUAAAAUUCUUUCACCGGGGACGAUAAUGACGGUACCCGGAGAAGAAGCCCCGGCUAACUUCGUG